GGCCAGGCAGGGCCUAUCUGUCAUCAGUCCCCACUCUUACAAGGCAUGUUUGGGGACACUGCCAUCAUCCAACACAAGUCCAGGCCUGAGUCCCCACUGGACGCUCCAGGAGGCAGGACGCCCUUCCCAGGGAAGCUGCCCUCCAGGCUUCACCUCGCCCCCUCUCACAAUGUGGCCGUCAACUGGCACACGACACACCCUCACAAACACGUGCACAUACACGCACGCGAGUGCACACCAGCUCCUGUGUGCACACAGGCACACAUGUCUAGAAGUGCACUCACACACAGGCACAGGGCACAGGUAUGCACACCGGGGCGCACACACAUGCCAGCUCACACCAGGCACACACAGGCACCGUCCUCCAGCCCAGUGAGGAGAGUGGGGCCCAUCUGCGCUCCACAGGGGGCUCUGCCUUCCCGUCCCCUUCCUUUGAUGAGCCUGUGACUUGCACAAGACUGAGCGCUCCGUGGGCUGGGCCAGGCACCCAGGAUAGGGCUCAGCUGCUGUUGUGAGCUGUACAGGGUCUGAGGAGGUCGCAGGAGGACUGGCUGGGGGUGGGAGGCAGCUCAGUCCCCAGUGAUGUGCUCGCCCUUUGCCCAGAAGGGUCUUCUGGGUCGCCCAUACCUAGAGCCAUAUUUAGUGGUUGUCCUGGUCUCUGUCCCGGGGCCUCCCAGAUCAGGCAGGCAGAGUGCCCUGCACACACCUGUCCACCCUGAGCCCAUUCCACAGGGGAAGAAGAUGAGCUGCCCACUGGACCUCAGGCUUCGGCCGUGUUGGAGGAAACUGGUGUCCUGACCAGCUGGGGUCUCAACUGUCACCCUACUGUGGGCCCCUGAUUCAGGGGAGAGAGAGGAACCCGAUGGGACAGCCCAGCAUUCUCCCAGCCUCCCGCCCACGCCCUGUGUGACGGUGCUGUCUGGGCCCUGAGGAGCUGGGGGCCCUGGAGAGACAGCAAAGCACAGGUCAGGGCUUCCUCCACCUGCUCUGUGGGACCCAUGCCUCACCUGCAGGCCAGGUGUGCUGGCGCACCUGCCCACAGGACUCCUGAGAAUGGCAUGAGGUGACACAGCACAGCGCCUGGCACACGGGGAGCCUCAAAAGCAGGCAAGGCUGUGACAACCCCCUGCUUCUGGGAAGAGGUGGACACCUUCAGGAAGACAGGGCAGGGCUCUGUGUGUGCAUCCAGCAGGGCGGAGCGGUGGCGGCUCAUCCCCUGGCUGGCCUCCCAGCAGCCUGUCUUCAGAAAGUUACCAACAGCCACAGAUGCUGGGGCCUCGCUCCCUCCCCAGAGAUUGUGACAUCCCUCCAGCUGUCAGAGCCCGCCACCCCAGGGCCACGUUCCCAGCAGGAAGCCCACGGUGGGCUCCACCCACCGCCGAGGCUCCUUGCCCUCACUGAGC
rnacentral:lncRNA from 1 species